GAAGGCUUUUGAUCCUUUUGAGAAAUAAAGAUCUGAAAGAAAUGGCAUAAUCUUAAAACUUGAAUUUCAUCCAGGACAUCACAUUGCAUUUUGUUCUUUUGCCUCCUGAGUCUUCUCCAGUCUGUGACAGUUUCUCAUCUUUUGUUGUUUUUCAUGAUCUUGAAGACCCCUGGUCAGUCUCACCUCAUAGAUGAAAAAUGCUUCAGAAUAUAGUUAUAACUGUGAAAAGACUGUUCCUGAUGUUAUGAUAUGCUCACUGUGAAGCUUUGCAUGCACUACAGACAAAUGUUGGAAAGUCUGUCUCAACUUCAAGGGCAGUGAAUUCUGAAAGUUAAUGUGGACACAAGAGUUUCUUCUCAGAUUUCCUCCUCUGCUGCAUUUUUUUUUGAGUUAUCUUCUUUUCUGGUAUGAAAUUGUAAAUCAAGUAAGUCAGAUAUAAAAAUAUUUGCAAACAG
rnacentral:sRNA from 1 species